rnacentral:RNase_P_RNA from 1 species
AUUUUGUGUCAAUUGCUAUACCUGAAAAAUGGUAUAGAGGAAACUCCACGCUUGCACAAUCUGCGAUGAUUGUAGUGUUUGUGUUGAACGAAAAAAUAAGUUCAAGCACCGGUAUUGGUGACGGCAAAAGAAACCUACGGUUAAGUAAUUAACUAUGGUGAAUUUGAAGUGCCACAGAGACGAGUAAAGGGAAACCUGGAAAUGGAACGCGGUAAACCCCACAAGCAAGAAACUCAAAUUUUGGUAGAGGAACUUGGCGUCCGGAAAUGAAUGGACAACGGGAUCGUGAGCGUUAGCAAACGAUAGAUAAAUAAUUGACCCUUAAUUAGCAAUAGUUAAGGAACAGAACGUGGGUUAUACGA